rnacentral:rRNA from 2 species
ACAUGCAGUCGAGCGGAGUUUUGAAAAGCUUGCUUUUCAAACUUAGCGGCGGACGGGUGAGUAACACGUGGGCAACCUGCCCUUGAGACGGGGAUAACUCCGGGAAACCGGAGCUAAUACCGGAUAACACAUAUCUUCGCAUGAAGAUAUGUUAGAAGGUGGCUUUUAGCUACCACUCAAGGAUGGGCCCGCGGCGCAUUAGCUAGUUGGUGAGGUAACGGCUCACCAAGGCGACGAUGCGUAGCCGACCUGAGAGGGUGAUCGGCCACACUGGGACUGAGACACGGCCCAGACUCCUACGGGAGGCAGCAGUAGGGAAUCUUCCGCAAUGGACGAAAGUCUGACGGAGCAACGCCGCGUGAGUGAUGAAGGUUUUCGGAUCGUAAAGCUCUGUUGUUAGGGAAGAACAAGUACCUGUUAAAUAAGCAGGUACCUUGACGGUACCUAACCAGAAAGCCACGGCUAACUACGUGCCAGCAGCCGCGGUAAUACGUAGGUGGCAAGCGUUGUCCGGAAUUAUUGGGCGUAAAGCGCGCGCAGGCGGUUCCUUAAGUCUGAUGUGAAAGCCCACGGCUCAACCGUGGAGGGUCAUUGGAAACUGGGGAACUUGAGUGCAGAAGAGGAGAGCGGAAUUCCACGUGUAGCGGUGAAAUGCGUAGAGAUGUGGAGGAACACCAGUGGCGAAGGCGGCUCUCUGGUCUGUAACUGACGCUGAGGCGCGAAAGCGUGGGGAGCGAACAGGAUUAGAUACCCUGGUAGUCCACGCCGUAAACGAUGAGUGCUAAGUGUUAGAGGGUUUCCGCCCUUUAAUGCUGCAGCAAACGCAUUAAGCACUCCGCCUGGGGAGUACGGUCGCAAGACUGAAACUCAAAGGAAUUGACGGGGACCCGCACAAGCGGUGGAACAUGUGGUUUAAUU